AUAAAAUUGUUACUUUUUCAUCAUCUUCUUCCUUGAAAAUGCUGAACUUCAAAACACAAAUAAAAAAACUGAUAUAAGUGAUCAUAUCCAUCAUUCAUUCAAAACCUUGAACAAAGAUCUAAAUUCAAUCUAAUUCCACAACUCGAACUCGAAGAACAAAUCCCAGUUAUAAAUCUUUCAGCUUCAAAUCCUAGCGAUAUUCAAAAACUAGUUUCAGAGAUCGGAGACUCCUGCGUCGAAGCUCCGUCAAGAGAUUUAAAAAAGCUGUGAAAGUGUUGUUUGAUCUACCAUUAGAGGAGAAAAGAAAGGUGAAGAGAAAUGAGAUGCAUAUCUUCCUCACCGGAAAGACGAGAGCAGCGACGCAACAGACAACGUCAGCUAAAAUUGAUGACAAAGAAGAUAUCCCACCGGACCAACAAUGGACAUGAUUCUCACUAAGUGUCGGAUUCUCCGAUGUUGAAAAGGACGUCGUCGUUUGGUUGAAACUCUUGAUUUUUGAAGAGAUACAUGUAAUUAACCAAUGAGAGUUGAAGGGUUUAUGUUAUUUCUGCAGGUUGGUUUCCUUAUUCUGCAUCUCAGAAGCAGCAACAAACAACCUAUGGCUUCUACCUCUCAUGUCGAUAUAAUCAUGAAGAUAGUAGAUGACUUUAGCUUUGAUGAAGCAGUUGCUAUGUUAAACAUGAGGGUGUACUGCAAAUUAGAAGAAAUUGAAACCAGAUAAAAUUUGGAAUAAAUGCUCCUAUUUUAAGUAUCACAA